GUACCAGGCUUCCCAGGCGUCCGAGUUGGUCAGGCCUGUGUACCACAGCUGGCCGGCUGCGUCCCGUCCCAUGGGCGUGUACUUCCAGCGUGUGGCCUGCCUGAUGGCUGGUGGCCAGCGGGAACCCUCCAGGGACAGGUAGUCAUCGCUGAGGGUGGGCAGGGGGCAGAGACUGAGCCCAUGUCUACAGCGAGUGCUUUGACCCCUUUGCGAUGUCUGCCAGGGUGGAUGAUGUAGAGGCCUGGCCCACGGCGUGGGGUCUCCCUCCCUCGCCACUUGGAGUCUGUCCUUCAGCCCUGUACCCCUCACCCCAGAGUGGGUGCUUGAGGAGAGAGGCUGACUCCCCCUCUCCCCACACAUCGCACCCCAAGCACCCAAGUCAGCACUAAACCUUUCUGUUCUCAGCUUUUCUUGCCUGGAGAAGAGGGAGGGGAGAGGACAAGGGCCCUGGCUACUCCUGGAUUCCUACAGUCCUUGUCCAGCCUCCAAGACCCACAAGUCCCUUCCUCUGGGAAGCCCCCCUGGCCUGGAGGUGCACCAGGAAGAAGUGGUCUGGGGCUGGCACUAAGCCAUGGCCCAGGGAAGACUGGGGGACCCACUAGGCCAGGUGUGUGGCUCACGCUUGUAAACCCAGCACUUUGGGAGGCUGAGGCAGGUGGAUCACUUGAGGUCAGGAGUUCGAGACCAGCCUGGCCAGCAUGGUAAAACCCCAUCUCUACUAAAAAUACGAAAAUUAAGCCAGGCAUGGUGUGGGGGCGGGGGGCACCUGUAAUCCCAGCUACUCAGGAGGCUGAGGCAGGAGAAUCGCUUGAACCCAGGAAGUGGAGUUUGCAGUAAGCUGAGAUCGUGCCCUUGCACUCCAGCCUGGGCAACAGAGUGAGACUCUGUCUCAAAAACAAAAAGACAAGAGACUCAAAGAUGUUUUAUGCUUUGACCUUGCUCUUGGGAAUAUGUCCCAAGGAAGUCAUCCCAGAAAACAAGGUUGCUGGCCCCAAGACAGUCUAGCAGGGUUCAAAACAAUCUCAUCUGCCCUGCACGGAAAGCCCGGUUCCAGCUCUCAUGGCAGGAACUCUGCUUAAAUCCUGACUAGACUCCCAGGUGCCCACAGAACAUGGGAGUAGCCUGGUCAGUUACAGAGCCUGUUUGAGGGACCCCACAUAGACUCGGCUUUUCCACUAGAAAGGCAAUUUCAAGAUCAGGAGAACCUCACCCUUUUGAAAUGAAUUGCAAGACACAUGUAGCUUUUAAAACACAAUUAAAACAGCACAAAAUUGUCUGGGCGCAGUGGCUCAUGCCUGUAAUCCCAGCACUUUGGGAGGCCAAGGUGGGUGGAUCACCUGAGGUCAGGAGUUCGAGACCAGCCUGGCCAACAUAGUGAAACCCCGUCUCUACUAAAAAUACGAAAAAUUAGCCAAGCAUCGUGGCAGGCGCCUGUAAUCCCAGCUACUGGGGAGACUGAGGCAGGAGAAUUGCUUGAACCCGGGAGGCAAAGGUUGCAGUGAGCCAAGAUCGCACCAUUGUACUCCAGCCUAGGCAACAGGGCA
rnacentral:lncRNA from 1 species